rnacentral:rRNA from 1 species
UAGGGAAUAUUGCCCAAUGGACGAAAGUCUGAGGCAGCAACGCCGCGUGCGCGAUGAAGGCCUUCGGGUUGUAAAGCGCUUUUCGGGGAGAUGAGAAAGGACAGUAUCCCCGGAAUAAGUCUCGGCUAACUACGUGCCAGCAGCCGCGGUAAAACGUAGGAGGCAAGCGUUAUCCGAAUUUACUGGGCGUAAAGCGCGUGCAGGCGGUUCGGUAAGUUGGAUGUGAAAUCUCCUGGCUCAACUAGGAGAGGUCGUUCAAUACUGUCGAACUUGAGGAUGGUAGAGGGAGGUGGAAUUCCCGGUGUAGUGGUGAAAUGCGUAGAUAUCGGGAGGAACACCAGUGGCGAAGGCGACCUCCUGGACCAUUCCUGACGCUCAGACGCGAAAGCUAGGGGAGCGAACGGGAUUAGAAACCCCGGUAGUCCUAGCUGUAAACGAUGUGGACUUGGCGUCGGUGGGGUAAAAUCCAUCGGUGCCGUAGCUAACGCGUUAAGUCCACCGCCUGGGGACUACGGCCGCAAGGUUA